CGUGCAGUAGUGGAUUAAACAUAUAAAAGCAACAAAGCAAGAAAUAAAAGUAAGCAAAGAGAGCAAGACAAUAAAGUAAGAAAAAAAUAAGGCACAAUAUAAAUAUAAAAAAAUUAUUGUAGUUCGGUACAACCCCACAUCUAUGUCUAAUUCCAAAUUUUUUUUUAGAAAUUUUACUAUAAUCAGCUUGAUUAUAGAGUGUUUAUUUUAUCCAAACUCACAUACAAAUCUAGUUGACUUUUCA
rnacentral:lncRNA from 1 species